GAUGAACGCUGGCGGCGUGCUUAACACAUGCAAGUCGAACGAAGCACUUUAAUCGAUUUCUUCGGAUUGAAAUUUUAGUGACUGAGUGGCGGACGGGUGAGUAACGCGUGGGUAACCUGCCUCACACAGGGGGAUAACAGUUGGAAACGGCUGCUAAUACCGCAUAAGCGCACAGUACCGCAUGGUACGGUGUGAAAAACUCCGGUGGUGUGAGAUGGACCCGCGUCUGAUUAGCUAGUUGGCAGGGUAACGGCCUACCAAGGCGACGAUCAGUAGCCGACCUGAGAGAGUGACCGGCCACAUUGGGACUGAGACACGGCCCAAACUCCUACGGGAGGCAGCAGUGGGGAAUAUUGCACAAUGGGGGAAACCCUGAUGCAGCGACGCCGCGUGAGCGAAGAAGUAUUUCGGUAUGUAAGGCUCUAUCAGCAGGGAAGAAGAAAUGACGGUGCCUGACCAAGAAGCACCGGCUAAAUACGUGCCAGCCGCCGCGGUAA
rnacentral:rRNA from 1 species